AUCGUGGUGUGGAUGAUGCAAAUCUACUGUCAAAAAAAAGCUGCAAUGGCUCUUUCAAGGAUGUCCGAGCCCAAAAUUCCACCAAUGUUGCUGAGUUUUGUUCUUGAAACAGGAUAGCCGGCAUGCAACACGCCUUGAUCUCUGCGUACAUUAGUCAUGGAUUUGCUUGUGUUAAUUGCAUCAUCAGUUUCGCUCUUAAGAGAUGUCUUAUCCUACUUAAUGUAGAUUACAUAUUGCUUCGAGGUCCCUUGUUACUCUGGGCAUUGAGUAUAUAGCGAUGGUUGCAUCCUGCUCCUAUGUUGGCAUGCUGUUUUUUCCAGUCAUGCUGGUUCACAGUGGUCUACCGGAGAUCGGGUGGGGCGGUGGGAGAACUACAUGGCAGAUGAGAUCCAUCAAGUAUUCAACUUUCAAUUUUCGUGGGACAUGGCAUGCAGGUAUCCAGGUACUGGCCCUCAGAAAUCAGGACUGAUUUGCUUUGGUUCGAUGUGGAUCCGACUUGAAGGUUGGUGGGCAAACAGAAAUCCAGCUGCGACUCGCGGAUUGGAAUAGUGAAUAAAGCCGAUAGAAACAUUUCCAAUGACAUUAACAAACCUGGUGGGCAUUAAGAUUUACAGGAGUGCAAAAAUUGCUUCGCGAGAAACUAUGAUUUUUAUCAGGUUCCGACUUUGACCAGGCUAGUGAUUAGUCUGGCUAAUCAUUCUGGAAAGAUAGAGACCUGACCGCCAGCAGGAUAGUUUCCCCUUGUUGGCAGAAUCUGUUUUACAGGUGAAUGUUCUAGGUAAUUUAGCACGGCUUAGGAUGGGUGUUUAGUUUAACAUUAGAGGCUUUAGCAUAAUAGCAAAUUCACAGUCUA